CUUCAUACAUUUUAAUUUCUAUAUACAAAUCAUGUACGGAUCUUUCCAAAAUCAAUGGGGCUAAAUAGUACCGUUAGGCAAGUGACCAUUAGGGAAGACAGUCCAGGUGAUUCAUCAAAGUGAGGCAAAAGAGUAUACAGAAAGAAAACGUAAGAAGAAGACAUCAAUCUAUACAUACUGUAAGAAAGUUACCUUCAUUCUUCAUCUUCCACUUCUUCUGCCCGAUUGCUGUUGUCGCCUCCACCUCCACCUCCACCGACGCCAAUCGGACUGUUUAACUGUAAAUAAUUGUUGGAAACAAAGUCCACCUCCAUCAAAGGAUUACUCCAGAAUGCAGCCGCCUUCACCAACGUACUAGAAUUAGGUAGAAGAAUCGGCCACCGACCUUUAACAUCUAUAUAUAUCCUUGCUGCUUGUAUUUGUGUGUGUGUGUGUGUGUGAAAGCGUGUGGGACAGUGGGAUUGUGAAGAGAGCAGGAAGAAUAGUGAGGAGAGAUAGAGAGUGGAUCAUAGAAAGAAGCUGAGGAAGUAAUGUUAGCAGAGAGAGACUAGGAGAGUAAGUGGAGAGAAUCUGCCAUUAUACAAUUAGAGUGAAUAAGGAUAGUGAGAAUUAAAUAUGAGAAGGGUAUCCUACAAAUAAAAUAAGUGUGAGUUUGUGUUCAAAUUGUGUAAAAUUCAUUUCAUCAAUAAAAUUCUAUUUUCUUGGUGUUUAAAAUUCAAUACUUUGGUAUCAAAGCUCAACAGAUACUUCAUCAAUUUAUUAAUUUAGUAAAGUUGUCUCAAUUAUCUUCAAAAUAUACAACUCUGAUUGCAAUGGAAAGGUAACUUUUAACUUUUCAAAAUAUGAGACCCCGUAUAAUGCACUUGUCUAAGUCUACUGUUCACAUUUACAGAGUAAGGUUGUAUUGUGUAUUUUUUUAAUACUUUAAGUUGUAUUGAAUUAUAUUUUCAUAUAUAUAUAAUUUUUACGUUUUGUUGCAUUUACAUAAAAAUUGAAGAAUUUUUAAUAUUAUUUAAUUAAAUAUUAAUAAAUAAACUCGCAAUUACGAUUUUUGAUUGUCAACGUUCACAUGCCAAUGGUCAACAGUCCACCCUACGGUCAACGAUCCGCUCUAGCUGACAUUAGACCCUGGAUUCGCCCCUGGGGACCAGUAGUUAAUCUCAAGGGAAUCUAAUCUAUCUUCAAUGCACUAAUAUGUCCCUCCUUCACUCCACCCAAAACAAAGACAAGGAAACUCUAUGCGACUUGGGCUUUCUUGUAUGUAAUAAAGUUGGGUGCUUGAAACUUCUAAUCCAUGUCCUUGUAAUUUUGUGUUCGUACAAUCACCAUCCAAGGGAAACAACAAAAUAAUAAUUAACUGUUGGUUUAGAUAAGAAAAAGUUUAUACAAAUAUAAGUUAAAAUCAACAAUUAAUUUUAACCAUACAAUUCAUGUGAUCCACAAUUUUUAUCAACU
rnacentral:lncRNA from 1 species